UACGGAGGGGGCAAGCGUUGUUCGGAUUUACUGGGCGUAAAGGGCGCGUAGGCGGCGCAACAAGUCACUUGUGAAAUCUCCGGGCUUAACUCGGAACUGCCAAGUGAUACUGUAGUGCUAGAGUGCAGAAGGGGCAAUCGGAAUUCUUGGUGUAGCGGUGAAAUGCGUAGAUAUCAAGAGGAACACCUGAGGCGAAGGCGGAUUGCUGGGCUGACACUGACGCUGAGGCGCGAAAGCUAGGGUAGCAAACGGG
rnacentral:rRNA from 1 species